AACUUCAUGGAUUUCUGUCUGUGAAGCUAUUAACUUAAUUCAUUCAACUGAAAGCGAAAUUAAGUUGUUUGCAACAAAUUCUUAAGAGAUGAAGAUGAAAUAGAUCCGCUCUUAAUUGAAAAUAUUUAAAUGGACAACUGAAUCAACAAGAGAUGCUGAGUUUGUUAUUUGGUUUUGGAUGAUGUUGAGAGUAUUUGACUAAUGGAAAACUUGGUUGCCUUCCAAAGGAGUAUACCGAAUAUAAGUUUUUCAUCAGUUUAUAUUCAUAAGUUUAUAUAUUUCAUAAGUUUCUGUUCAUAAGUUUUUCAUGGGUGCUUUCCUUGAGCUUUACAAGACAGAUGAACAGGGAAUCUCAGCCUAAGACACGUAAAAAGAAACACAUGAUGCAUAACAGUUGGCUUUGCAGAGAAAUGCUGAAGAAUAUUUUCAAGAAAAUUGCAUAUAUUAUAAAAUUAGCUAACAAGAUAAAGAAUCCAAGUGGCGAAGCAAAUAUAAAAAACAAAAUUCUUACUUUGUAAAAAAGAUGUUAUGAAAUGCUCAAAAUGCUAAAUUUAGUUUUGGUAGUAUAAAAUCUAGUAAUAUUUGCAAUAAAUCUUA